GACGAACCGUGCGAACGUUGUUCGGAAUCACUGGGCUUAAAGGGCGCGUAGGCGGGCCGAAAAGUCAGGGGUGAAAUCCUCCAGCCCAACUGGAGAAGCGCCUUUGGUACUGUCGGCCUCGAGGGGUGCAGGGGCAUGCGGAACUCAGGGUGGAGCGGUGAAAUGCGUAGAUAUCCUGAGGAACACCGGUGGCGAAAGCGGCGUGCUGGACACCUUCUGACGCUGAGGCGCGAAAGCCAGGGGAGCGAACGGG
rnacentral:rRNA from 1 species